GACGAACGCUGGCGGCGUGCCUAAUACAUGCCAGUUGAGCGCUGAAGGUUGGUACUUGUACCAACUGGAUGAGCAGCGAACGGGUGAGUAACGCGUGGGGAAUCUGCCUUUGAGCGGGGGACAACAUUUGGAAACGAAUGCUAAUACCGCAUAAAAACUUUAAACACAAGUUUUAAGUUUGAAAGAUGCAAUUGCAUCACUCAAAGAUGAUCCCGCGUUGUAUUAGCUAGUUGGUGAGGUAAAGGCUCACCAAGGCGAUGAUACAUAGCCGACCUGAGAGGGUGAUCGGCCACAUUGGGACUGGGACACGGCCCAAACUCCUACGGGAGGCAGCAGUAGGGAAUCUUCGGCAAUGGACGAAAGUCUGACCGAGCAACGCCGCGGGAGUGAAGAAGGUUUUCGGAUCGUAAAACUCUGUUGGUAGAGAAGAACGUUGGUGAGAGUGGAAAGCUCAUCAAGUGACGGUAACUACACAGAAAGGGACGGCUAACUACGUG
rnacentral:rRNA from 1 species